rnacentral:hammerhead_ribozyme from 1 species
GUCCAGUAAUGAGUCCCAAAUAGGACGAAAUUCGAAAUCCUGGAU